ensembl:rRNA 5S_rRNA 5S ribosomal RNA
UGCCACAGCCAUAUCACCCUGCAGCCCAAGACUGGUUGCCCACUGAAGCUAAGCAGGGUUGAGCCUGGUUAGUACCUGGAUGGGAGACCUCCUGGGAAUACUAGGUUGCUGCUGGAA